CUGCCUAAUACAUGCAAGUCGAACGCGCGGAUCAGGAGCUUGCUCCUGUGACGCGAGUGGCGGACGGGUGAGUAACACGUAGGCAACCUGCCCAUCAGACUGGGAUAACCACGGGAAACCGUGGCUAAUACCGGAUAAUCCUUUUCCACACAGGUGGGAAAGUUGAAAGGCGGUCUUUUGGCUGUCACUGAUGGAUGGGCCUGCGGCGCAUUAUCUGGUUGGUGGGGUAACGGCCCACCAAGGCGACGAUGCGUACCCGACCUGAGAGGGUGAUCGGCCACACUGGGACUGAGACACGGCCCAGACUCCUACGGGAGGCAGCAGUAGGGAAUCUUCCGCAAUGGACGAAAGUCUGACGGAGCAACGCCGCGUGAGUGAAGAAGGGUUUCGGCUCGUAAAACUCUGUUGUCAGGGAAGAACGCCGACGGGAGUAACUGCCCGUCGGGUGACGGUACCUGACCAGAAAGCCACGGCUAACUACGUGCCAGCAGCCGCGGUAAUACGUAGGUGGCAAGCGUUAUCCGGAAUUAUUGGGCGUAAAGCGCGCGUAGGCGGUUCGUUAAGUCUGAUGUGAAAGCCCCCGGCUCAACCGGGGAGGGUCAUUGGAAACUGGCGGACUUGAGUGCAGAAGAGGAGAGUGGAAUUCCAUGUGUAGCGGUGAAAUGCGCAGAGAUAUGGAGGAACACCAGUGGCGAAGGCGGCUCUCUGGUCUGCAACUGACGCUGAGGUGCGAAAGCGUGGGGAUCAAACAGGAUUAGAUACCCUGGUAGUCCACGCCGUAAACGAUGAGUGCUAAGUGUUAGGGGGGUUUCCGCCCCUUAGUGCUGCAGCUAACGCAUUAAGCACUCCGCCUGGGGAGUACGGCCGCAAGGUUGAAACUCAAAGGAAUUGACGGAGACCCGCACAAGCGGUGGAGCAUGUGGUUUAUUUCGAAGCAACGCGAAGACUCUUACCAAAUCUUGACAUCCUCUGACCACCCUGGAGACAGGGUUUCCUCUUCGGGACAG
rnacentral:rRNA from 1 species